AAGCCGAUGACGACUAAAUUGAAUUGGAAUUACCGUCUGAACAAAUUUACCUUUGAUGUGAAUUUCUGGCUGACUCCGAGGCUUCCU